AUUGAACGCUGGCGGCAGGCCUAACACAUGCAAGUCGAGCGGAUGAAGGGAGCUUGCUCCUGGAUUCAGCGGCGGACGGGUGAGUAAUGCCUAGGAAUCUGCCUGGUAGUGGGGGAUAACGUCCGGAAACGGGCGCUAAUACCGCAUACGUCCUGAGGGAGAAAGUGGGGGAUCUUCGGACCUCACGCUAUCAGAUGAGCCUAGGUCGGAUUAGCUAGUUGGUGGGGUAAAGGCCUACCAAGGCGACGAUCCGUAACUGGUCUGAGAGGAUGACCAGUCACACUGGAACUGAGACACGGUCCAGACUCCUACGGGAGGCAGCAGUGGGGAAUAUUGGACAAUGGGCGAAAGCCUGAUCCAGCCGUGCCGCGUGUGUGAAGAAGGUCCUCGGAUUGUAAAGCACUUUAAGUUGGGAGGAAGGGCAGUAAGUUAAUACCUUGCUGUUUUGACGUUACCAACAGAAUAAGCACCGGCUAACUUCGUG
rnacentral:rRNA from 1 species